UGCGUAGGCGGUUUAUUAAGUCAGUGGUGAAAGACGGUCGCUCAACGAUUGCAGUGCCAUUGAUACUGGUAGACUUGAGUGUGAUUGAGGUAGCUGGAAUGGAUAGUGUAGCGGUGAAAUGCUUAGAUAUUACAUGGAAUACCAAUUGCGAAGGCAGGUUACUACUAAGUGAUUGACGCUGAUGGACGAAAGCGUGGGGAGCGAACAGGAUUAGAUACCCGUGUA
rnacentral:rRNA from 1 species